GACGAACGCUGGCGGCGUGCUUAACACAUGCAAGUCGAACGGUAAGGCCCUUCGGGGUACACGAGUGGCGAACGGGUGAGUAACACGUGAGUAACCUGCCCUUGACUCUGGGAUAACUGCGGGAAACUGUAGCUAAUACCGGAUACGACCCUCGGCGGCAUCGCCAGGGGGUGGAAAGAAUUUCGGUCAAGGUUGGACUCGCGGCCUAUCAGCUAGUUGGUGAGGUAACGGCUCACCAAGGCGACGACGGGUAGCCGGCCUGAGAGGGUGACCGGCCACACUGGGACUGAGACACGGCCCAGACUCCUACGGGAGGCAGCAGUGGGGAAUAUUGCACAAUGGGCGCAAGCCUGAUGCAGCAACGCCGCGUGAGGGAUGACGGCCUUCGGGUUGUAAACCUCUUCUAGCAGGGAGGAAGCGAAAGUGACGGUACCUGCAGAAAAAGCACCGGCUAACUACGUGCCAGCCGCCGCCGUAA
rnacentral:rRNA from 1 species